GGGAAUUCAAGCUGCCGAUGGAAUUACGGUUACUAUCAGCUGAUCUUAAGAUGGAAAGAUUAUUUUCAAUUAGCUGGAUGGGCCCGAUGUGAUCACAAGCGUCUUUAAACAUGGGAGAGGGAGGCAGGAGCAGAGAGGGAGAGAGGCUGAGGAAGGAAGCAGAGUCAGGGGGGAGCAGUCUAAGGACUUGAUCUGCUGUUGUUGGCUUUGAAGAUGCUGGAAGAGACCCCGAGCCAGGGAGUGCAGGCGCUAGCUGCUAGAAAAGGCAGGGAAAUGAAUUCUCCCCUAGGGUGCCCAGAAGGAACACCGCCUUGUUGACACCUCGAGUUUAGGGACCCAGGUCAGACUUCUGACCUCUGGAACUGCAGGCACUGCGCUGGGAGCUAGGAAUACGGCUGUGAACCAAAGUCCUGCCUGCAUGGAGCUUACAGUGUGAUGGACGGCUCUGGCGACAGGGACCAACAAAGCAAUGCAAAAGAUCAGGGGGCCCCAGUGCUCUGAUGGAAACCACAGUGGGGAACCUUCCAUGCAGGUAGUCUGGGGUGAUGGAAUGCCACAGAAGAGAGAUGCCCAGCAAGGCCGGAGCAGAGGCCCACGGCACGGCCAGACACUGGGGUAGGCGUUGAAUGAGCCCCAGCUGACCAGGCAAACCCACGAAAACACCAACACGGAGAGUGCUUUCUGCAGUAGUGACUGGCAAGAGAUUUUAGUCCACUUAAUCCUCACGACAGAUCGUAUGAGGUCGGUGCUGUCACUGUAUCCAUCUUACAGCUCAGGAAACUGAGGCAGACGCAGGCAGAAACCAGGAGGGCUGAGACUGGAACCCUGGCGGUAUUUCUCCAGAAUCUCCCAUUUAACCACUGAGCUACACACCCAGCCAGCGUAAAGCCAGCUAAUGAUAGACAGGGUCCUACCUGGCUCACGAAGGCAGUUGGCAUUUACAAGGGCACAGGUGGCCUAGCGGAGGCAAGAAUGGGCUUUGGAAUUAGGCCUGGAUUCCACUCCCCGCACUGACACCAAUGAACCCUGAGGCUGACCCUCCCCGGAGCCUGCAUUUCCUUCACUGGGAAGUGGAAGGAACACCUGCCUUAGCGGUGGGUGUGAGAAAUGUUGGGUGAGAAGGUUCUGGCGUAUGGCAGAUUUUCAUUAAACGAUUACUUUUAUUACUUUGACAGAUGAGCUGGGGAGGUGGCCUGCUCAAAACUGAGACUUGAGAAGAAUCUCUCUUAAAAGAGAGGCCCAAUCUUCCUUGGCUAUGGGGGCGCAGAGGAGGGGUGACAGCUAGCUGAAGGGAUCUGGUGGCUUCAGAGGACACGGCACGAGCAAGUGGUUGGGACUCUGGCUUCAGAGCUCAGCAGACUCGGGUUCAAGUUCCGGUAUCCAGCGCGUGCUCACUGGGUCUCCUUGGGGAGUCGCUUAACUUCUUGGAGUCUGUGAAGUGAGGACGCUGAGAGUACCUUCCUCGUAGGGGUGAGAAGAAUGGGUGGAAUCAUUCAGGGAAAGGAGUGCUGGGCACACCGGCUGGCACAUAGUGUCUAUGGAGGACUCCACGUGGCAAGGAAAUGAUGCCUCUGGCCGAGGGCUAGCAAGGACCUGAGACCUGCCAAAAUCCACGUGAGUACAUUUAAAAGCAGAUCCGCCACUGGAGCCUCGAGGUGACCAAAGCCCUAGUCGAUGCCUUGACUCUAGCCCUGUGAGAGUCUUCGAGUCGAAGACACCCCCCGAGGGGCAUUAGGCUCCCCGACCCCCAGAGACCGCGUUUGUGGUUUUUAGCUGUGUAACUUGUUACGCAGCUACGGAUAACUAAUACACCAUCAGAUGAGUCUGCUGGAUGAUGAGUGACACGUGGCCCGGUCACUUCCUUUCACCCAGCCAGACAACCGCUGGAUGUGAGAGUGAGGCCAUCCCAGACCAACUAGCCCUUAGUCAACCUGUCAGCUGCUUGCAGACGUGGGGUUGGGCCAAGCCAGGAUCAGCUGUGCCUGGCCCAGAGCAGCAGAAGUCCUGCCUGAACUUGGACCUGGCCGCGAUGAUAUACAUUGUUGUCUUAAGCUACUAAGCCUUGGGAUGAUUUUGUACCCAGCAGUAGCUGACUGAUACAGCCUGUGUAGCCGGGGCUGUGUGCACACAGUAGGAAAUGGGGCUGGGAAGCUGUGCAGGGGCCUAAUGUGGAAGGCUUUGCUGCCAGGUUAAGGCAUCUGGAGUCUAAUUUGCGGGCAGUCGGGGCAGGUUUUGAGCAGGAGAAGGUCAUGAUCAGAGCUGUGGUUGAAGACAUUUCUUGUGGCAGUGGCAUGAAUUGGAGGCAGCGGGAUCAUUUAGGGGGCCGCUGUGUCAUGAGGCCGAUGGGCAGUGACGGAGGCUUGAAAUUAGGAAACGGUGAGGAAUGGGCGAGAACAGUGGAGGUGGAAUCGGUGAAAACCGUUCUGGACUGGGUUGGGGGCCUGGCAUUGGGAGAGUGGAAGUCGACACCCAGGUUUUGUUCCUGGGAGCCUGAAUGGUCGGUGGUGCUGUUGACAAAGACGGGGAGAUCAGCACGGCGGAUAGGGAGAUGGGAGGGGUGAUUUGGGGUGGACUGAGCGUUCAGUGCUAAAGAGGCCUGGGAAGAGGCUUAGGAGACAGUGACUCAAGACUGCAAAGGGAGCUUUAUCCCCUGUCUAGCAUACUGUCAGGUCUCAGAUUGGGCAACUGAGAGAGCGUGAGCAAAGGCCUAUUUUACAAGGGUGUGCGAAGAGUUUGCGCAUUGUACAGGGGCGGUGAGUUAGCCUGGGCUACCAAUGGUGAAUUAGCCUAGGGCUACCCAUGGGCUACGAACAGCAGCUGUUAUCACCCCCUAGGACCGAGAAGUCCCCAAGGACAGGAGCAGGAGCCAGAACCAGGAGGGGAUGUUGUAUGGAGAGGGCUGCCUCCUAGGGGCUGUGGCCUUUGGUAGAAGAUGCAGAUGACCCAUGGCGGCCCAGUAAGGAGGACACAUGGGAGUAAGUAGCCUGACCACUCCUUAUUCCUGCCUGGGAGCACUUGGUGUCCCUCGUUGGCUGAGUCCACCCUGAAGGCAAGGGCAAGGUGGCCCAUUGAUGGAGUCCCUGCACAGCAGCCUCAAAGGAUGCAGAGGGGCCAGAGUAGAGGAGGGUGAGUAGAAGAUACCAGGCCAGAUGAAAUUUCUAUAGCUUAAGUCAAUCGGUGACCCCGGUUCUGGCAAAGGAGAUUUGAGGGGAUCUCUGCUAGAGAGGGUGUGGGAAAAGGUUCUUGACUGUUAGGAAGGAGACGGCAGGAGAGCUGUUCUUUGUUGUGUCUGAUGUGAUGGCUGGAACUGCGACAGCCCUCUUGCCACCGUGGGGGAAGCCAGCCGAAGUCAGAACCAGCCCACUGAGGACAGAGAAGCGAAGAGAUGGAAAGAUGGGUCUCUUUGAGGAACUGCUCUGAGACCGUGUUCUGCCUCUGAGGUUCCUUUUUUUUUUUUUUUCCCCAUGAGAUAAUAAAGGUUCUUCUUGUUAGAACCAUUUCGAGCUGGGUUUCCCAUUACCUGCAGCUCUAAGUUUCCUAAUGGCCAGAGUCGCCAUCCACCAUCUCCAGGCCCGUGUGCGAGCCCUCAUGCCUCCCACAGCCUGAAGGCCAAGCUGCCCGCGGGGUUGCACGACAGGCUACAGCAGAUUCGGUGCAGAAUCGCAAAUGCUUUUUCGGUCUGUGACAAAAGAAAGAGUCAGAAGUGGGAGAUAGGCUCUUAUCUGCAAAUACUACCCUGUAGCUACCGAUGACUUCUGACCGCGGAAGACAGAUGUCCACAGAGGCCGGUGAUUCAGGGUGGUUGGGGGGCACAGGCCUUGCAGGCUGUCAUGACCCUGCUGCAAGUCUACGUCUGCUGCCUUCUAACUGUGUGACUUUGGGGAAGUUAGUGAACCUCCCGGAGCCUUGGUUUUCUCCCUGGAGGUGGUGAGGGUCGCAUCAGAUAGAAGAAGGAAGAAACCAAGAGCUCUCACAGGAAUCCCAGACCUGAGAGGCUGCCUUCAAAAGACUUCCUCCCCGCUCUCUCCCUCUUUCUUUCCAUUGCUGGGUCGGAUGUGAGGGAGGUUGGGAAGGGUCCAAAGGGAUAUGGGCAAGACAAACCACCCAGACAAAGGGAGGAUGUGGGCUCCCAGAUAGCAGUGACUUGACUUACCGCCCACAAGGGCCCCCACGUGUCUGAUGUACGAAUGUACGAACGAGUGAAAGAAUAAAUGGGAAAAAAAGAAUAAGAAGGUUAGAAAGAUGGGGAAUUUCACCCACAGAAAGAAAGGCGGAUGGAGGGCUUUGUAAAAUUCUAACGACCAAUACCCGGGACGCAGAUCGCGGAUCAGUCAGGAGAGGCUGGGUAACACGGUGGUAACAAAAAUUCCCGAAUCCCAGUGGCUUUAUAACAACUAUGUUUGUUUCCUGUUGAGGCACUGCAUGGUGGGUUAUUCGAAGUCACUCAGAGAUUUAGCUGAGGGGAGCUCCAUGUUGACAUGCUUCUAUAAUGACAGCAGCAGGGUACAAAGAAUGUGGCACAAGCUCCACGCCGGAGCCGAGAUCACCUGCCCGGCAGUAUUUCACAUCACACCUGCUCAUACUUCAUUGGCCAAAGCCAAUCACAUGGCCAUACUUGAGUCAAGUCGGUGGAGAAGCUCGAGCCUCUGUUCCCACAAAAGAGAACUGGCAGUUUGUCAGCAUUCCUAACCCCCACCAGAGGGGUGCUUGGGCUGAAUGCAGCUCAGACCUGGUUGGUUUGGCCUGUUUGGUACUUUAAUUUUUUUUUUUAUAAUACUUUUUUUUUUUUUUAUAAUUUAAUGAAAAAAAAUGUUUUCAUGUUUACUUUUAUUUUU